ensembl:lncRNA
GUUUAUUGGCCCAUAAACGUAAUUCAGGGUGAGGAACUAACUAACAUCAAAUUAAAAAAGUGAAAUUCUCCUUUAAUGGUCUUGGGUUAAUGAGUGAAGUUUUUUGUCAGGCCAGUGAAGUUCGGAAAAAGAAAAGCUGCUCAGCAGGGAAGCCAAUAACUCCUUGGCACCCCUCCUCUCAUUCCUCAGUUUGAUCAUAGGUCUAAAAGACUAUAGACAGAAGACAAUGAAGAGGAAUAUGAAGCACCUGCAAUACUAUCAAUUUCUAUUCUGCUACCUUCUGCUGACUAUCAAAGAUCAUGCACUCUGUGUCAAAGAAAUCACAAUUACUCCGGCUGAACCACAUGUCAAGCUGGGAGAUGCUGUGACCCUAACCUGUGAAACAACCUGUGAAGGCAAACCACAGUGGAAGCAACUAGACGACAGUGAUGCUGAAAUCACUUUCGAUGGGAAAAAAAGUUUUCUAAAGAUUGCAGCUGUACAGCUGGAUCACCAACAAACAUAUACCUGCACUGUGGCCAAAUGUCUUACACGGAAGAAGGAAUCAGUCAAGCUCAUCGUUGACAUUACCCCAGAUCCUUUAAAAACAACAGUUAAGGCUGAUGUACUUCCAGUUCACACCACAGAAAACCCAACAGAGAUGUUGCCAACAACGACAUGGCCCGCUACUAUUAAUGCACUUAAGGAAAAAGGAAUAGAUGUUGAGGUCAGUAGCAUUACAAAAAAGCUACCAGAGGUUGCGUCCACAUCAUUUCUCCCUACCAAAACAAGAGAUCCACAAGUGGAAGAUCCUUCAAAAACAACAAUCAAGACUGAUAUAUUUCCAGUUCACACCACAGAAAAUCUAACAAAAAUGUUGCCAACAACAUUACUGCCCACCACUAUUAAUCAUCUAAAAGACAGUCUUUCCACAGAAGGAAUAGAUGUUGAGGUCAGUAGCAUUACAAAAAAGCUACCAGAGGUUGCGUCCACAUCAUUUCUCCCUGCCAAAACAAGAGAUCCACAAGUGGAAGAUCCUUCAAAAACAACAAUCAAGACUGAUAUAUUUCCAGUUCACACCACAGAAAAUCUAACAAAAAUGUUGCCAACAACAUUACUGCCCACCACUAUUAAUCAUCUAAAAGACAAAGGAAUAGAUGUUGAGGUCAGUAGCAUUACAAAAAAGCUACCAGAGGUUGCGUCCACAUCAUUUCUCCCUACCAAAACAAGAGAUCCACAAGUAGAAGAUCCUUCAAAAACAACAAUCAAGGCUGAUAUAUUUCCAGUUCACACUACAGAAAAUAUAACUAAAAUGUUGCCAACAACAUUACUGCCCACCACUAUUAAGCCUCUGAAAGACACAGGGGCAGCUUCCAGCUCCACUAUAAUGGCCAUGGCUGUAGUGGGCUCAGUGGCAACUCUCUCAUUCCUGGGAUUCUUGAUUCACCUGAUCCGCCGGAAGAAACGCAAGUUGUCCCCUAAUGACAUGUAGAACCACCUGGAUGACUGCUGACCAAAAUUGCAUCAGCUUCAUCUCAUUUCAAGCUUUUUUUGUCCAAUAUAUUUAAUGCUAUUAUAACACUCCUUCAUACAGCUUUCCCUGCAUCAGCUUAAACCUAAUAUAAUACACUGAUCAAAAAAAUUUAAGGAACACUUAAAUCAUACAUCGGGUCUCGAUGAACGACAUAUGUUAAAGAUCAUAACCUUUACUGUACAUUGUGUAAUUAUCACGGUCGUAGGUAUGCAUGAUAUGUGGCGCAGAGCGAGUAAAGGGAAACAUCCUUUUAUUAUAACGCAAAAAAUAACAAAAGGAGAGGCAAACCUAACACAAACAAUGAUCCACAAGUGAAAAGUCCAAAAGGGAAACUUAAAUAGGGUCCCCAAUUAGAGGCAACAUGCGGCAGCUGCUGCCUCUCAAUCACCAACCGAUUGAGGGCUGGAUUCAAACUGAAAAUCAAAGUAAACAACUAAAAUCACAGGCUGUUCCAACUUAAUGUGACUCAUAAUGUGACCCAGUAGUGUGUGCCUGUAUGCAAUGCCGACAAUGUCUGGGCGUGCUCCUGAUGAGAUGGCGGAUGGUGUCCUUGGUGAUCUCCUCCCAGACCUGGAUCAGGGCAUCAGUGAACUCCUGGACAGUCUGUGGCACUACUUGAUAGGAUUCAGGUCUGGGAUUCAGGUCUGAGAACGUGAAACCGGUAAUGCUAGAUGAUGUUGUAAGCAACGUUCACCACAGCGUCUCCAGACUCUUUCAUGUCUGUCACGUGCUCAAUUUGAACCUGUGCUCAUCUGGGAAAAGAAUGUAACGCCAAUGGCGGACCUGCCAAUUCUGGUGUUCUCUAGUGAAUGCCAAUCGAACUGCAUGGUGCUGGGCUGUGAGCAUAGGUCCCACUAGAGGACGUCAGACCCUCAAGCCACCCUCAUGGAGUCUGUUUCUGACAAUUUGGUCAGAAAUAUGCACACAUUAGCCUGCUGGAAGUCUGGCUCUGGCAGUGCUCCUCCUGUUCCUCCUCACACAAAGGAGCAGGUACCGGUCCUGCUGCUGGUUUGAUGCUCUUCUAUGGCCCUGUACAGCUCUCCCCGUGUAACGGCUCGUCUCCUGGUAUCUCCUCCAUGUUCUUGAGACUGUACUGUGAGACACAGCAAACCUUCUUGCGACGGCACGUAUGGAUUUGCUAUUCUGGAAGAGCUGGACUGCCUGUGCAACCCGAGUGGGCUGUAGGUACCGCCACAUGCUACCAGUAGUGACAACCACACUAGCAAAAUGCAAAAAUAAAGAAGAAUCAGUCAGGAAGGAUAAGGAGAGAGCAAUUGUCUGUUGCCACCACCUGCAAACCAUUCCCUUUUUGGGGGUUGUCUAGCCGUUGCCUCUCCAGUAAACCUGUUGUCUCUUUCAUUUGCACCAAUGCAGUGACAUUGAUUCACAAUUGAUAUCCCUCAAAUUCACUUGGUGUUAUACUGUGAUGAUUGUGUUCCCUUAAUUUUUUAGCAGUGUAUUUGCUAUGGUACUACCUGAUAAAAUUAAGGACAAUGUACAAAGAAUGACACCCAAGAAGAACAGUCUAAUUUGGAAAAAAAUAUGUAACUAACAUGAAGUUUGAUUAAUAUCAUAUCCAUAUAAAAAGAAAAAUAUAGCAACAUUUUUGAUUUCCUGAGGUUUAUUUUAAAUAGACAUUCCUGUUUAGGUAUUUCUGUUGUGAUGUUAACUUUUUUUAUACAUUUCAUUAUACACCGAUGCAGGAGCGUCACCAGACCUGGGCUUUCAUUUAAUUCUACAUGUUAUAUUUUUAAGUGGAACAUUAUAUCAAAUAGACAUGACUAAAUGGCAUCUGUAGCAACAUUACCAUGAAAAAGCCUAAAUAAGUUAAUAAAGCAUGUGAAUUUAAACACAAACAGUAAUUUCUACUACUACUUGUUUUCUUUUGUUUUUUGCAUACACUGUGGUAUAAGCGGGACAGACCUUUUUCUGUAACAUCACCUUGGCAAAAAUGAACUCCUUCCAUUCCAUUGUCUGAUGCAACUAGAAUCCUGCAGGAAUGUCAUCUGUUGUGAAGGAAUCAUGCAGGUGUCCUGCAGGAAUCCUGAAGGAUUGACCUUGAUGAGAGAUUAUCCUGCAGAAAUCCAGAGAAUAUUGCACAACCCUGAAAAUUCAUGCAGGAAUCAAAAUCCUGCAGACUUCUAAAUUCCUGCAGGAUAUGACGAUCCCUGCAGGAAUAAAAAUUCCUGAAAAUGAAUAUUCUAGCAUGAAUCACACUGUAUAUUUUAAUAAACAAGCUGGAUAUGGCAAUUCCUGCUGGACUAAAACCGUCAGGAUUUAGAUUUUCCUGCAGGACAUGUGAAAAUGUGAAUUCCUGACAAUUUCUGUCAUCUGCUCAUACUAGUCAUGUAAUAUUAAGUAUUUAAUAUCUUGCAGGUGGAUUUCAGUCACACUAAGUAGAAGCAAUAGAUUCUGGGCUAGUAUUUUUUAUUGUCUCACUCAGAAUUUGAAACAAGCACAAGAUACUUUUAGAAAACGUUUUAAAAACAGCCAUGUAACAAUACAUGAUGUAAUAACACCGCAUUAUGUAAUAACUUGACCAAAUGUAAUACAUUUUCAAUUCAUUUUGUAAUAACACCCACAUUUUUACUAAUCUGCUUCAUUUGUAAUAAUCAGCUUGAAAGCAAUUUGUACUAAAUGUCCCCGCAUUUUGUAACAAAUUAUUACAUUAUGUGGUGAUUAUUACAAAAUGUGGGAGUUGGACUUAUAAAAAAUGAAAAUGUAAUUAUAUAGUGCAUUAUGUAAUACCCAGC